UCCAGGGUAGCCUAGUGGACAUGGCAUCUGCUCGGUAAGCGGAACGUUGUGGGUUCGAUUCCCGCCCCUGGAU
rnacentral:tRNA from 1 species